GAUCCUGGCUCAGGACGAACGCUGGCGGCGCGCCUAACACAUGCAAGUCGAACGGGGUUAUACGGGGUGAAGUUUUCGGAUGGAAUUCUGUAUAACCUAGUGGCGGACGGGUGAGUAACACGUGAGCAACCUGCCUAUCAGAGGGGGAUAACGAUUGGAAACGAUCGCUAAUACCGCAUGACAUAGCGAAACCGCAUGGUUUUGCUAUCAAAGAUUUAUCGCUGAUAGAUGGGCUCGCGUCCG
rnacentral:rRNA from 1 species